rnacentral:rRNA from 1 species
AUGCACGCUGGCGGCGUGCCUAAUACCUGCCAGUCGAGCGCACAGACGAGGAGCUUGCUCCUCUGACGUUAGCGGCGGACGGGUGAGUAACACGUGGAUAACCUACCUAUAAGACUGGGAUAACUUCGGGAAACCGGAGCUAAUACCGGAUAAUAUAUUGAACCGCAUGGUUCAAUAGUGAAAGACGGUUUUGCUGUCACUUAUAGAUGGAUCCGCGCCGCAUUAGCUAGUUGGUAAGGUAACGGCUUACCAAGGCAACGAUGCGUAGCCGACCUGAGAGGGUGAUCGGCCACACUGGAACUGAGACACGGUCCAGACUCCUACGGGAGGCAGCAGUAGGGAAUCUUCCGCAAUGGGCGAAAGCUUGACGGAGCAACGCCGCGUGAGUGAUGAAGGUCUUCGGAUCGUAAAACUCUGUUAUUAGGGAAGAACAAAUGUGUAAGUAACUAUGCACGUCUUGACGGUACCUAAUCAGAAAGCCACGGCUAACUACGUG